UACGUAGCGGGCAAGCGUUAUCCGGAUUUACUGGGUGUAAAGGGAGCGUAGGCGGCGGAGCAAGUCAGAAGUGAAAGCCCGGGGCUCAACCCCGGGACGGCUUUUGAAACUGCCCUGCUUGAUUUCAGGAGAGGUAAGCGGAAUUCCUAGUGUAGCGGUGAAAUGCGUAGAUAUUAGGAGGAACACCAGUGGCGAAGGCGGCUUACUGGACUGACAAUGACGCUGAGGCUCGAAAGCGUGGGGAGCAAACAGG
rnacentral:rRNA from 1 species